rnacentral:rRNA from 2 species
ACCGCGUGAGUGAAGAAGGGUUUCGGCUCGUAAAGUUUUGUUGUUAAAGAAGAACACGUAUGAGAGUAACUGUUCAUACGUUGACGGUAUUUAACCAGAAAGUCACGGCUAACUACGUGCCAGCAGCCGCGGUAAUACGUAGGUGGCAAGCGUUAUCCGGAUUUAUUGGGCGUAAAGAGAGUGCAGGCGGUUUUCUAAGUCUGAUGUGAAAGCCUUCGGCUUAACCGGAGAAGUGCAUCGGAAACUGGAUAACUUGAGUGCAGAAGAGGGUAGUGGAACUCCAUGUGUAGCGGUGGAAUGCGUAGAUAUAUGGAAGAACACCAGUGGCGAAGGCGGCUACCUGGUCUGCAACUGACGCUGAGACUCGAAAGCAUGGGUAGCGAACAGGAUUAGAUACCCUGGUAGUCCAUGCCGUAAACGAUGAGUGCUAGGUGUUGGAGGGUUUCCGCCCUUCAGUGCCGGAGCUAACGCAUUAAGCACUCCGCCUGGGGAGUACGACCGCAAGGUUGAAACUCAAAGGAAUUGACGGGGGCCCGCACAAGCGGUGGAGCAUGUGGUUUAAUUCGAAGCUACGCGAAGAACCUUACCAGGUCUUGACAUCUUGCGCCAACCCUAGAGAUAGGGCGUUUCCUUCGGGAACGCAAUGACAGGUGGUGCAUGGUCGUCGUCAGCUCGUGUCGUGAGAUGUUGGGUUAAGUCCCGCAACGAGCGCAACCCUUGUUACUAGUUGCCAGCAUUAAGUUGGGCACUCUAGUGAGACUGCCGGUGACAAACCGGAGGAAGGUGGGGACGACGUCAGAUCAUCAUGCCCCUUAUGACCUGGGCUACACACGUGCUACAAUGGACGGUACAACGAGUCGCGAACUCGCGAGGGCAAGCAAAUCUCUUAAAACCGUUCUCAGUUCGGACUGCAGGCUGCAACUCGCCUGCACGAAGUCGGAAUCGCUAGUAAUCGCGGAUCAGCAUGCCGCGGUGAAUACGUUCCCGGGCCUUGUACACACCGCCCGUCACACCAUGAGAGUUUGUAACACCCAAAGUCGGUGGG